AAGGGAAAGACCAUGAUGUGAGAGUUCCAAGCACAUAUCUGAAGUGAAUGUGUUGACACAUUUUGUCACUGAGUCUCUUCUGC
ensembl:snoRNA